AGUACGGUCAGCUAAACAAGCUUUCGGGCCCAUACCCCGAACAUGAUGAUUAAUCCCCUUCCCUUACUA
rnacentral:tRNA from 1 species